rnacentral:rRNA from 1 species
CUGCCGGGGUCAACUCGGAGGAAGGUGGGGAUGAGGUCAAAUCAUCAUGCCCCUUAUGUCUUGGGCUUCACGCAUGCUACAAUGGCCGGUACAAUGGGCUGCAAUACCGUAAGGUGGAGCGAAUCCCAAAAAGCCGGUCUCAGUUCGGAUUGAGGUCUGCAACUCGACCUCAUGAAGUCGGAGUCGCUAGUAAUCGUAGAUCAGCAACGCUACGGUGAAUACGUUCCCGGGCCUUGUACACAC